UACGGAGGGUGCAAGCGUUAUCCGGAUUCACUGGGUUUAAAGGGUGUGUAGGAGGGCAGGUAAGUCAGUGGUGAAAUCUCCGAGCUUAACUUGGAACUGCCGUUGAUACUAUCUGCCUUGAAUAUUGUGGAGGUGAGCGGAAUAUGUCAUGUAGCGGUGAAAUGCUUAGAUAUGACAUAGAACACCAAUUGCGAAGGCAGCUCGCUACACAUAUAUUGACCCUGAGGCACGAAAAGCGUGGGGAUCAAACAGG
rnacentral:rRNA from 1 species